CACGGAAGGCCCCUUCGGGGGUACUCGAGUGGCGAACGGGUGAGUAACACGUGGGCAAUCUGCCCUGCACUUCGGGAUAAGCCUGGGAAACUGGGUCUAAUACCGGAUAGGACCUUUAGACGCAUGUCUUUUGGUGGAAAGCUUUUGCGGUGUGGGAUGGGCCCGCGGCCUAUCAGCUUGUUGGUGGGGUGAUGGCCUACCAAGGCGACGACGGGUAGCCGGCCUGAGAGGGUGUCCGGCCACACUGGGACUGAGAUACGGCCCAGACUCCUACGGGAGGCAGCAGUGGGGAAUAUUGCACAAUGGGCGCAAGCCUGAUGCAGCGACGCCGCGUGGGGGAUGACGGCCUUCGGGUUGUAAACCUCUUUCACCAUCGACGAAGGUCCGGGUUUUCUCGGAUUGACGGUAGGUGGAGAAGAAGCACCGGCCAACUACGUGCCAGCAGCCGCGGUAAUACGUAGGGUGCGAGCGUUGUCCGGAAUUACUGGGCGUAAAGAGCUCGUAGGUGGUUUGUCGCGUUGUUCGUGAAAUCUCACGGCUUAACUGUGAGCGUGCGGGCGAUACGGGCAGACUAGAGUACUGCAGGGGAGACUGGAAUUCCUGGUGUAGCGGUGGAAUGCGCAGAUAUCAGGAGGAACACCGGUGGCGAAGGCGGGUCUCUGGGCAGUAACUGACGCUGAGGAGCGAAAGCGUGGGGAGCGAACAGGAUUAGAUACCCUGGUAGUCCACGCC
rnacentral:rRNA from 1 species